ACCGGGUGUUUUAGAGUACACACCUUGCGACAGAGGACCCGCGGGUCAUAGCUAGUUUGUACGUAACGUUCACCAAGGAACGAUGCGUAGCGACUUGAGAGGUGAUUCGGUCACACUGGACUGAGACACGUCCAGACUCCUACGGGAGGCAGCAGUAGGGAUCUCGCAAUGGACGAAAGUCUGACGAGCACGCCGCGUGAGUGAUGAAGGUUUUCGGAUCGUAAAACUCUGUUGUUAGGGAAGAACCAAGUACCGUUCGAAUAGCGCCGGUACGUUGACGGUACCUUAACCAGAAAGCCACGGCUAACUACGUGCCAGCAGCCGCGGUAAUACGUAGGUGGCAAGCGUUGUCCGGAAUUAUUGGGCGUAAAGCGCGCGCAGGCGGUUUCUUAAGUCUGAUGUGAAAGCCCCCGGCUCAACCGGGGAGGGUCAUUGGAAACUGGGGAACUUGAGUGCAGAAGAGGAGAGUGGAAUUCCACGUGUAGCGGUGAAAUGCGUAGAGAUGUGGAGGAACACCAGUGGCGAAGGCGACUCUCUGGUCUGUAACUGACGCUGAGGCGCGAAAGCGUGGGGAGCGAACAGGAUUAGAUACCCUGGUAGUCCACGCCGUAAACGAUGAGUGCUAAGUGUUAGAGGGUUUCCGCCCUUUAGUGCUGCAGCAAACGCAUUAAGCACUCCGCCUGGGGAGUACGGUCGCAAGACUGAAACUCAAAGGAAUUGACGGGGGCCCGCACAAGCGGUGGAGCAUGUGGUUUAAUUCGAAGCAACGCGAAGAACCUUACCAGGUCUUGACAUCCUCUGACAACCCUAGAGAUAGGGCUUCCCCUUCGGGGGCAGAGUGACAGGUGGUGCAUGGUUGUCGUCAGCUCGUGUCGUGAGAUGUUGGGUUAAGUCCCGCAACGAGCGCAACCCUUGAUCUUAGUUGCCAGCAUUCAGUUGGGCACUCUAAGGUGACUGCCGGUGACAAACCGGAGGAAGGUGGGGAUGACGUCAAAUCAUCAUGCCCCUUAUGACCUGGGCUACACACGUGCUACAAUGGGCAGAACAAAGGGCAGCGAAGCCGCGAGGCUAAGCCAAUCCCACAAAUCUGUUCUCAGUUCGGAUCGCAGUCUGCAACUCGACUGCGUGAAGCUGGAAUCGCUAGUAAUCGCGGAUCAGCAUGCCGCGGUGAAUACGUUCCCGGGCCUUGUACACACCGCCCGUCACACCACGAGAGUUUGUAACACCCGAAGUCGGUGAGGUAACCUUUGGAGCCAGCCGCCGAAGUGACAGAAGGG
rnacentral:rRNA from 1 species